rnacentral:rRNA from 1 species
GACGAACGCUGGCGGCGUGCUUAACACAUGCAAGUCGAACGGAAAGGCCCCUUUUGGGGUACUCGAGUGGCGAACGGGUGAGUAACACGUGAGUAACCUGCCCUUGACUUCGGGAUAACUUCAGGAAACUGGGGCUAAUACCGGAUAGGAAUCCUUGCUGCAUGGUGGGGGUUGGAAAGCUUCGGCGGUUUUGGAUGGACUCGCGGCUUAUCAGCUUGUUGGUGGGGUAGUGGCUUACCAAGGCUUUGACGGGUAGCCGGCCUGAGAGGGCGACCGGCCACAUUGGGACUGAGAUACGGCCCAGACUCCUACGGGAGGCAGCAGGGGGGAAUAUUGCACAAUGGGCGGAAGCCUGAUGCAGCAACGCCGCGUGCGGGAUGACGGCCUUCGGGUUGUAAACCGCUUUCAGCAGGGGCGAAGCUUGUGGUGACGGUACCUGCAGAAGAAGCACCGGCUAACUACGUG